rnacentral:lncRNA from 12 species
GUUCACAUUGAUUAGCUUCAUUCUAUGGAUAAGUAAACUGGGGCUUGGCAUGGAUCCGUGGCUCCUACAAAUCACACAGCCGGGAAAUGUGAGACUUGGGUAUAGGUCUUCUGAAACCCACUGAGGUUAGUUGAAUUGUACUAGCACCAGGCUGGGGACUGGUGUAAGGGGUGCCUGGAGCAAUCUUAGGCAAAGGCCCUUUCAACAAAGGGGCCUUUGUAACAAGCCCUUCUUUGUUUAGCCACCAGACUGCUCCCUGGAGUAAUUAAGGCCUGUAGUUCUUAGAUAUAAGGCUGGCUGACACUACUUGACAUAAUGCAGCAAUCUGAGCUUAGAUGCCAGGGCAGUGUUUGAAAUGCAUGAGCCAGGGCAGACCUGCUCCCCCACACACCUGGGUGCUAGCCACGUGGUUGAAUGGCCCUGCCUUUCUUGCCACUUCUAAUGAUAGAACACCUCCCUUUGGUCUAACAGGAUGGGGUGCUGGUGGCAAUGUGUCUAUCAUCACGUGUCUCCGGUACCCGCGGAUGGAUAUCUCACCUGCUGCUGCCCAGAGGAGGGAGGUCAUAAGCUUCCGUGGGUCCUUCGGAAUGAAGCAAAGCCUACCUGCAUCUUUUCUGCCAGUGCACAGUGCCCUCCUGGGGGUGGCACUGAGGAGGACUUCAGGUCGCCAAAACUCACGUGGUGUGAAUGUGGCAGAUAGAAAUCCCAGGAGUCCGAGGUAA